GCUGCAGCAAAUACAACAUUGCAGUUGGUAUGCGGUAAUGUUUGAUCCCUUUGAAAGGGUUGCCCGUGCUCAUCAUGUUGCCCUUGCUGUGAGUGCCCUCUCUCUGAGGAAGAGGAAGAUGAGUUUGUUAAAAAGCAACGAGUGAAGGCAGCAAUUUCUGUUGAGCAUUUGAAAGUGCUGGCUGUGGAUCCCUCAAGUGCUGACUCUCAUUUUCAGCAGUUGGACAAGCUCCGUAUGGUUUAUGAAGAAUAUGUUAAAAUUGGAAAGGAGACAAUUCCUAAUACUGAGAAAGAUUUGCAUGAGCUGACUUGAGCUGGAUAAAAAGUCACAGGCCCUUGAUGAUGUAAUUAUCAAUUCUGGUAAUUUCUCUCCAAUUGAGUAUUGUCAACUUUUGAGGGAAGCAUGUGUCGUACACUGUUCACUAUAAUUCAACCUCCAAACAAUGAAAUUCUAUGUGUAACACUGUGUUUUCCCUUACAGCAUAGACAUAAAAUAUGGUAGUAUCUGGGAAGGAUAAUGCUUGGAUAUAGUUAAUGGGUCAUAUGAUGUGAACCUUUGGAAGACCAUAAGGAGAGGCUGGGGUACAUUUCUUUUGAAACAAACAGAAAAAAAUUAGUACUUCAGUCGAGCAGUUAAAAAAAAAAAAAAGAUCUGUGUUGCUUCAUGUUUUAAGAUGACAACAAAGAUCAUGUCAAGUUCAAGAAGAAAUAAAAUUAAGGGGUGAUUUGAUUUGAGAUAGAGGCACUACAAGGAGUAAAAGUAGUUGUUUGAGACUGAGAAAUGAAGCGAUUGCUUUUGAUCAAACAGAAGACACAGCCCUGAAUAGAGCAGAAUGGUGUGAAAGUAUUUCUGCCACCAGCACAAAAGGAAUUCUCUCUUUCUUUCCCUUCUUAAGGCCGGAAAGAUUAUAAGUGGUAGUAUCUGUGCGUGAGAACAGAUGGGGAAGGUCAAAAGUGGAUCAAGAAGCCCCUGCCCGCUAUUUGAACUUUCUAUUAUUGUUGAAGCUUGUUUAUUUAGCUAAUUCGAAAAUUCUUUUCUUAUAACGGUUUAGUGUUUCAUCACCAACCAUGGCUGUUAUCUGUUGUAGGUCGUAUAGGUAUUUUAGCUCAAGUAAAGGCCGAUAAGGACUCGAUUGAGGCCUUAGUGCAACCUGUUGAAACUGCUGACAGGCUCUUCCAAGAAAUUCAAAGGCUGAUAAGGACUCAAUUGAAGGUUUUUUUUAAUGGUGAGAAAACUCUAUUUUUCUCUUUUCUUUCAAACUGUUAUAAUUGGAAAAACUUAAUCCCCACUAUAUUCUGUUACUAGCGAAUUGACUCAUAAUAUAUAGGGAAAAAUGCUUACACACCCUAAGGUAGUGGCCGUUACACCCCCUAAAAUUUUAUUUUGGCCAAUUUACUCCUUAAAUAUUAUACAUCUAGUAAUUCACUACAUUUUAUUAGUUUGCUGUUAAAAUACUAACAGAAUAUGCACCUGAAACGCACAUGAUGUUAAAAUACCAAAACCAAAAGUGUAAACCCCUAUGGAAGAAGAGAGAGAAACAGUUAGAACCAAUGCAUUAUCCCUCUCUUCGGUGCCGGAAGUUUUUGGCCUGCAACUUGAUAAGUCACUUCUCCAGCCUGAAGUCGUAUGAGAUUGACAAAUCAAUGGUCAAUACUUCCUUCCUAUCUUUAUACCCAAAAAUCGUAUAAAUUUUUCUUAAGGCUCAUCUCUUUCAUUUGAAUGGCUCAUUAAGUCAGAUGACUGUGUUUCAAAUAGAAGUCACCAGUCUGGUAAAUUAAAAGGCAUUUUUUUAAAACUCUUAUUUGUGAAAUUUUACGCAUGAACUAUGAUAUUUGAUUGUCUAUAUAAAAUAAAUCUUGGUUUUUAAUCUAAAUUCAUCAAGUUGAUCUUCCUUUGUGCAUUCAAAAGAACCAUGGAAACCACGUACAGAGUCUCCAAAUUGUCUCAAAAGUCAAGCUAUUCGUUCAAAAGGUAUGUCAUACUAAUGCUUUGCCCACAAGAAGUAGUCUAUUCAUAUAUACAAUCAAAAGAAGAAA